UUCAGUGUGUGGCACAGUGGUUUGAGUGUUGAACUAUGACUCUGAAGGCUAGGGUUCAAAUCCCCAUUGAGA